AUUGAACGCUGGCGGCAGGCCUAACACAUGCAAGUCGGGCGAGUGGCGGACGGGUGAGUAAUGUAUGGGGAUCUGCCUGACGGAGGGGGAUAACUACUGGAAACGGUAGCUAAUACCGCAUUCCAUCAGAUGAACCCAUACGUGAUUAGCUGGUAGGUAAGGUAACGGCUUACCUAGGCGACGACCCCUAGCUGGUCUGAUAGGAUGAUCAGCACCACUGGAACUGGGACACGGCCCAGACUCCUACGGGAGGCAGCAGUGGGGAAUAUGGGACAAUGGGCGGAAGCCUGAUGCAGACAUGCCGCGUGUAUGAAGAAGGCCUUCGGGUUGUAAAGUACUUUCAGUAGGGAGGCGUUACCGACAGAAGAAGCACCGGCUAACUCCGUGCCAGCAGCCGCGGUAAUAC
rnacentral:rRNA from 1 species